CUACGGGAGGCUCCAGUGAGGAAUAUUGCACAAUGGGGGGAACCCUGAUGCAGCAACGCCGCGUGGAGGAUGACGCAUUUCGGUGUGUAAACUCCUUUUAUAUGUCAAGAAAAUGACGGUAGCAUAUGAAUAAGCACCGGCUAACUCCGUGCCAGCAGCCGCGGUAAUACGGAGGGUGCAAGCGUUACUCGGAAUCACUGGGCGUAAAGGACGCGUAGGCGGGUUGGAAAGUCAGGUAUGAAAUCCUACAGCUUAACUGUAGAACUGCACUUGAAACUUCUAAUCUAGAGUAUGGGAGGGGGAGAUGGAAUUAGUGGUGUAGGGGUAACAUCCGUAGAUAUCACUAGGAAUACCUAAAGCGAAGGCGAUCUCCUGGAACAUUACUGACGCUAAGGCGUGAAAGCGUGGGGAGCAAACAGGAUUAGAUACCCGAGUAGUC
rnacentral:rRNA from 1 species